ACUGCAUAUAGUCACUGUUUUUCUCCUACCUCCCAAUAUUUGAAAAGCUCCCCCUCCCAUUUCUGGCUUGUUUACAAAUGCACAACUUCAAUGUUUUAACCCCCUUUUCCUUUUCUUGUCUAAUUGCAUUCACCAGGCUUUCCAGCUGGCCUCCUGGUCUUGCUCCUAACUUUGAUGCAAACGUUGGUCUCACUAAAAAUCAUAAUGCAGGAAGAAGGAUGCCCUGAGAGAGGUGUUCGCUUUCCCAUAAAGGAAAAAUCUGAAGGGAGAGCUUGUGAAGAGCGUAUCAGAAAAGCCUAGGCUGGUGUGUGCGCCGGCAAGGGGCUCCCGGGCCCCCUCCGCGCGGCCCACGCUCUGCUCUGCCCCGGGGGCUGAAGUUUCUCCCUGCGUUUCCGCUUGAACUGCAUCCAGCUGCCUCGCCUUUAAAAUGCCAGGACGGCCGCCGCUCCGCUCAGAGCCCCCUCUCGGCGGCUGGCCGGGUCUCGCCCGCGCCGCCGGGGCGCUGACUCAGCCGCAGCCCGCCCAGCCCGGCCUGGGCAGCGCCCCCCGCGCCACCGACCAGCACGCGCCGCAGCGAGCGCACCGGACUGCCUCGCCAGCUGCUGCCAGUUUGGGUCCCUGCUCUCUAAAGGAAAGGCCGCUGCUCUCUCUGGCUUCCAGCUGUGAUGUCUGAUCACCCCCACUUCCCUCCUGAAGCAGCCGUACCCAGGGUGCGUGCCCACCCAGUGGCCCUUAUGAAGUGGUGAUCACUCUGACCAGCAGGGGUGGAAGAUGGUACCAGUCAACCCUGUGCCAGAGGAGGAGCCAGAAGCUGCCACUGAGAGAUGGAGGACCCCACGCCUGAGCCCGUCUACGUGGACGUGGACAAAGGACUGACCUUGGCCUGCUUCGUCUUCCUCUGCCUGUUCCUCGUCGUGAUGAUCAUCCGCUGCGCUAAGGUCAUCAUGGACCCUUACAGCGCCAUCCCCACGUCCACCUGGGAGGAGCAGCACCUGGAUGACUGAGGCACGGGCGGGCAGGGGCAGUGGGGAGGGACCAAGACCCUGGCGCUGUCUGGACGAGGUUGCCCCAGGACACACCUCCGUCCCCUGGCCACCAGCCUGCUAGCGCCUGGGGGCAAGCAGGAACAGAUUCGGCUACUAGGGAUGGAGGUGGCUCACCUUAGCCUUGUCCACUUCCACACGAGCAGCAGGUUGAGAUGCGUGGGAUGCUGUGGGCGGUGCCAUGGCCAGCCGGUCUGGGGAUGAGAGGUCUGCGCGUCAGUAGGCCCAGGUUCCAAGCUGGGGACUCAGUGUGAGACUAUGGGCAGUCACCUUCCCUGGCUCCCAAACCCCAUUUGGCAUUGGAUACAGGACAGAUCAUAUAACAGUGGUCCAGUUUUGAGGAGACCCUUGCCCUGAUCAUGCCAAGAAGCACACGUACUAGCCCCAGGGUCGCACAGCACAGA